rnacentral:rRNA from 1 species
AUGAACGCUGACAGAAUGCUUAACACAUGCAAGUCAACUUGAACUUCGGUUUGGGUGGCGGACGGGUGAGUAACGCGUAAAGAACUUGCCUCACAGAUAGGGACAACAUUUGGAAACGAAUGCUAAUACCUGAUAUUAUGAUUAUAUGGCAUCGUAUAAUUAUGAAAGCUAUAUGCGCUGUGAGAGAGCUUUGCGUCCCAUUAGCUAGUUGGAGAGGUAACGGCUCACCAAGGCGAUGAUGGGUAGCCGGCCUGAGAGGGUGAUCGGCCACAAGGGGACUGAGACACGGCCCUUACUCCUACGGGAGGCAGCAGUGGGGAAUAUUGGACAAUGGACCAAGAGUCUGAUCCAGCAAUUCUGUGUGCACGAUGAAGUUUUUCGGAAUGUAAAGUGCUUUCAGUUGGGAAGAAAAAAAUGACGGUACCAACAGAAGAAGUGACGGCUAAAUACGU